AGUGAACGCUGGCGGCGUGCUUAACACAUGCAAGUCGAACGAGAACGGAUUAUAGCUUGCUAUAAUUGUCAGCUAAGUGGCGCACGGGUGAGUAAUGUAUAGAUAACCUGCCCUCUAGAAAGGAAUAACAGUUGGAAACGACUGCUAAUGCCCUAUAUGCCUUUAAUACAUAAGUAUGCAAGGGAAACGCUUUAGUGCUAGAGGAUGGGUCUGUAUGGUAUCAGCUUGUUGGUGAGGUAAUGGCUCACCAAGGCUAUGACGCCUAACUGGUUUGAGAGGAUGAUCAGUCACACUGGAACUGAGACACGGUCCAGACUCCUACGGGAGGCAGCAGUGGGGAAUAUUGCACAAUGGACGAAAGUCUGAUGCAGCAACGCCGCGUGGAGGAUGACACAUUUCGGUGCGUAAACUCCUUUUAGUAGGGAAGAAGCGAAAGUGACGGUACCUGCAGAAAAAGCACCGGCUAACUACGUG
rnacentral:rRNA from 1 species